rnacentral:rRNA from 1 species
GUACACUCCUACGGGAGGCAGCAGUGGGGAAUAUUGAACAAUGGGCGCAAGCCUGAUCCAGCCAUGCCGCGUGAGUGAUGAAGGCCCUAGGGUUGUAAAGCUCUUUCACCGGUGAAGAUAAUGACGGUAACCGGAGAAGAAGCCCCGGCUAACUUCGUGCCAGCAGCCGCGGUAAUACGAAGGGGGCUAGCGUUGUUCGGAUUUACUGGGCGUAAAGCGCACGUAGGCGGACUAUUAAGUCAGGGGUGAAAUCCCGGGGCUCAACCCCGGAACUGCCUUUGAUACUGGUAGUCUUGAGUUCGAGAGAGGUGAGUGGAAUUCCGAGUGCAGAGGUGAAAUUCGUAGAUAUUCGGAGGAACACCAGUGGCGAAGGCGGCUCACUGGCUCGAUACUGACGCUGAGGUGCGAAAGCGUGGGGAGCAAACAGGAUUAGAUACCCCGGUAGUCCCAUG